rnacentral:ncRNA from 1 species
UCCUGUCCUCGGAAUAGCGUUGAAAAGUGUAACCCUCCUGACUGGAGGCACUUACUUUAACUCAUUAAAUCCAAAAGUCGUUUGUGAGGGAUACCUUAUAAAUUCCUUGUCUCCGGACUACUCUUGAUUGAGGAUUGGUAGAGCUAGAGUGCUGCGUGUUGUGAUACUAAGGUAACGGUAGAGUCGGUCUCACAAGAGGACGAGAUGUCCCACCACAGUAAACAGUUGUUGGCGUAACUGGAACCAAAGUGGUAUGCCAAAUAAGAGAUUUUCCGUGAUGUCCAAGUGAUUGGGCUAUAAGACUUUGCUGGGUCUCCCCUACUAAGGAAGUUUCUAGCAGAUACCUAAUUCUAAAAAAGGAAUUGUUGUAAAGAUGACAAUAAAUAAUAGGUGUGUUAGUGGGGAAUUGGAAACGAGUGGGUCUGUCAAUGACGCCCCGGACUAGAAAUGCGGUGAGGUCAACCAGGAUAGCAACCUGGGCACUUCCUCAUCAUCCGGUGACUGCAAUAAGUAGCAACAACAAUGACGUGGUAGGGGUAACGCCCCAACGCUUUUAUGGAUGGGU